rnacentral:lncRNA from 1 species
GAUUGCUGCAGGCUCAGAUGGAGGAGUUAAAAAGACCUGUGGAGGCUGGGCUUGGGGAUGGAGCUGAGAUGCUUCUACUGUGACGGCUGUACUCAGGAUCUGUCUUGCUUUGGAGAAUAGUGAUGGGUUUAUGUUUUACAGGCAACUCACUUAUCAGUGGUGGCUUCAAAGACAAGGAUGCUGUAAGCUGCUGAGGCUUUUUUGCUUGCAGAACUCUGAAAUGGAAAGGACUGGGAUUUCCUUUAAGUUCAGAAGAGGCCAGACUGAGGCAAGUAGCGUCUCCAGCUGGACUACUGGAUGUCUGAAAGACUAAAAGUGUCUGUGAGCAGAUGUGAAUGCUCCCAUGUUUCUGCCUGAAACUCUCCAGGACAUGACUGAGAGUCACAGGGAUCAGUGUGCUAAAGGAGGGAUGCCCAAACAACUUCAUAGAUGUUUGUGCUUGUGGUCUUCUUGGAAAUCAUUCUCAGGUAUCACAUGGAUAAUGGUGAGUAUGUUAGGUACUUCUUGUCAACAUAUAGAGAAGAGUAGGGGAGCAAAACUAUGGGCUGUGAUGUUACAGACAGUGAGGGAAUUUACCAAACACCUCAUAAAAAGUUCUUUUUUUUCUCAGUAG